rnacentral:rRNA from 1 species
AGAGUUUGAUCAUGGCUCAGGAUUAACGCUGGCGGUAUGCCUAACACAUGCAAGUCGAACGGAAUACUAAUUAAGAGAAUCUCACACUAGUGAGAGGUUCUCACGAGUAGUAUUUAGUGGCGGACGGGUGAGUAACACGUUGGAACCUGCCCCGAAGUGGGGAAUAACUGCUCGAAAGAGUAGCUAAUACCCCAUAGUAUCCGGUUUAUCCGGAUUAAAGAUUUAUCGCUUUGGGAGGGGCCUGCGUCUGAUUAGCUAGUUGGUGAGGUAAAAGCUCACCAAGGCGACGAUCAGUAGCUGGUUCGAGAGGAUGACCAGCCACACUGGGACUGAGAUACGGCCCAGACUCCUACGGGAGGCAGCAGUGAGGAAUCUUCCACAAUGGGCGCAAGCCUGAUGGAGCAAUACCGCGUGCAGGAAGACGCUUUUCGGAGUGUAAACUGCUUUUGUCGUCGAAGAUUAUGACUGUAGACGAAGAAUAAGGACCGGCUAACUACGUG